CCUACGUGAGGCAGCAGUGAGGAAUAUUGGUCAAUGGGCGGAAGCCUGAACCAGCCAAGUAGCGUGCAGGAUGACGGCCCUACGGGUUGUAAACUGCUUUUAUACGGGAAUAACGCGCCUUACGUGUAGGGCUUUGCAUGUACCUUAUGAAUACGGACCGGCUAAUUCCGUGCCAGCAGCCGCGGUAAUACGGAAGGUCCGGGCGUUAUCCGGAUUUAUUGGGUUUAACGGGAGCGUAGGCGGCAUGUCAAGCGUGCUGUGAAAUGUCCGGGCUCAACCCGGGCCUUGCAGCGCGAACUGGCGGGCGUGAGUCCGCGGAAAGCAGGCGGAAUUCGUCGUGUAGCGGUGAAAUGCUUAGAUAUGACGAAGAACCCCGAUUGCGAAGGCAGCUUGCUGCAGCGGAACUGACGCUGAUGCUCGAAAGCGCGGGUAUCGAACAGGAUUAGAUACCCCGGUAGUC
rnacentral:rRNA from 1 species